GGUUGCAUGGUCACCCAAACAAACAUGAAAGCUUGUCUGCAGCCGUGCUGUAAUGGUUAGGGAGUUGGGCUGGAGAUCACAGAGUUGCAGGUUUGAAUCCCACCCUUAAGCCCACCUCUUCCUACAUCUCCAUCCAUGACUGAAGUGCCCUUGAGCAAGGCACCUAACCCCAUAUUGCUCAAAGGACUGUCACCAAUAUAUGCGUUGGAUAAAAGAUAAAACUAAUUUAAUGAAUAAUUAUAAACCGUGGUAAAACCAUGGUUAGUUUUCAGAGUAAAACCAUGGUUCAAUUUAUAGUUAAACCUAGUAAAACCAAAAACCAAUGCCGAACCAUGCUCAAAAAACUGAAAUCAUAGUAUACCAUGGUCGAUUUUCGGGACAUGACUGGCGAAGGGGGACAUGCAAAGCAGUGUGGAGAGGUAAUGAAUUUAUGACCAAAGGUAAUUGUCAAUAUUGCACAUAGAAUACAAGGUGACUUGUUAAUGACUUGGAAAAAAUAAGACUUGGACUUGGACUUGACUUGG